GUCAAUGCAUUUUGAAGCAGAUGGGGCAGUAAUUCAUGAAAAAUAGUGUUUAGAAAAGUGGCUAGUAAUCUUAAGUGUGGACAUGCAGAUCUUCCUGGGAUAGACAUGCUUCACAAACAGAUUAUUCAGUCAUAAGGGACAAGUGUUGACUGCAACGUCCUCUUUCUCUCCUGUAGGAAUCUUGGUUUAGCCAGGUAUGCAGGUUUAAUGAAGAAAAUUGCCCUGGCUACAAUGGGGAUUACCUUGAUUUUCGCCCUGUUACAUCAACAGUUAUCUUGGCAUAGCUCAGUGUGGCCAGUGGAUCUUGGAUACUCCCGAAAUCAUAACAUGUACGCGCUGUGUGGUGAGAGGAAGCAGAGGGAUAGCAAGAGCUGGACUCGCAGCAGAAAAGGUGGUGUAUCUUCCAUACUCUGUGUGUUAUUUAUAGUCAAGUCUGAGUUGAUUUUGUUGAUUUUUAGGGUACUUGCAUCACUCGUCUGUGAAGCAUUAAGCAUUUACAAAAUGCACAGUAAAACCCAAGCAACUCAUCUUAAAUAG
rnacentral:lncRNA from 1 species